ensembl:miRNA Mir3075 microRNA 3075
CUGCUAUUUACUCUGCGGUUUGUACUGUCUGGGAGCAGCCAAGGACAAGUUACCUCUUGUCUUCUGUCCUUGGCCUUCCUAGGUGUCCAAGCUCACGCAGGCUGGGAGCCAGA